GCGAGCCGGUGAGCGGCUUUCAAGCUUCACACUUGCUCUUUUCUCAGAGUUAAGUGUGAAGCUUGAGGAAACUCCACCCACACCGCGGAAGCGCAAGCUCGCGAGAGCUAGGGCGAGAGCCCUAAAGCCGAGAACAGAAACGAAACCUUAAACCAUUAUAAGCAAUGAUGCGGAAACGCUGAGCAAUGAAUGGUUUAAGGAUGAAACGGCUCGGCUGCGCUGUGAAAGGGAAAAUAGGCGCCCAUGAGGUCCGCGUGAGGCGCGGGUAUCCCGAUUAGAUAAAUGCCGCUUAAAACAGAAGGUGGGUUACGGCCGGCACGC
rnacentral:RNase_P_RNA from 1 species